rnacentral:ncRNA from 1 species
UAACAUAAAGGGCAAACAUUUAGUGAUAAAUGGACGCAAAGCAUGAAGUCAUAGAGAGAAAUCUGUAUAGAAAGAAAUCCGUUAUGAUGGUUCGGCUGCAUAA